UACGUAGGGUGCGAGCGUUGUCCGGAAUUACUGGGCGUAAAGAGCUCGUAGGUGGUUUGUCGCGUUGUUCGUGAAAACUCACAACUCAAUUGUGGGCGUGCGGGCGAUACGGGCAGACUGGAGUACUGCAGGGGAGACUGGAAUUCCUGGUGUAGCGGUGGAAUGCGCAGAUAUCAGGAGGAACACCGGUGGCGAAGGCGGGUCCUCUGGGCAGUGAACUGACGCUGGAGGAGCGAAAGCGUGGGGAGCGAACGG
rnacentral:rRNA from 1 species